rnacentral:rRNA from 1 species
AACGAACGCUGGCGGCAGGCCUAACACAUGCAAGUCGAGCGAGGACUUCGGUCCUAGCGGCGGACGGGUGAGUAACGCGUGGGAACGUGCCCUUUGCUUCGGAAUAGCCCUGGGAAACUGGGAGUAAUACCGGAUGAGCCCUUUGGGGGAAAGAUUUAUCGGCGAAGGAUCGGCCCGCGUUGGAUUAGGUAGUUGGUGGGGUAAUGGCCUACCAAGCCGACGAUCCAUAGCUGGUUUGAGAGGAUGAUCAGCCACACUGGGACUGAGACACGGCCCAGACUCCUACGGGAGGCAGCAGUGGGGAAUCUUAAACAAUGGGGGAAACCCUGAUCUAGCCAUGCCGCGUGAGCGAUGAAGGCCUUAGGGUUGUAAAGCUCUUUCAGCUGGGAAGAUAAUGACGGUACCAGCAGAAGAAGCCCCGGCUAACUCCGUG